rnacentral:rRNA from 1 species
GCGAACGGGUGAGUAAUACAUCGGAACGUGCCUAGUAGUGGGGGAUAACUACUCGAAAGAGUGGCUAAUACCGCAUGAGAUCUACGGAUGAAAGCAGGGGAUCGCAAGACCUUGUGCUACUAGAGCGGCCGAUGGCAGAUUAGGUAGUUGGUGGGAUAAAAGCUUACCAAGCCGACGAUCUGUAGCUGGUCUGAGAGGACGAUCAGCCACACUGGGACUGAGACACGGCCCAGACUCCUACGGGAGGCAGCAGUGGGGAAUUUUGGACAAUGGGCGCAAGCCUGAUCCAGCAAUGCCGCGUGCAGGAUGAAGGCCUUCGGGUUGUAAACUGCUUUUGUACGGAACGAAAAGCCCUGGGUUAAUACCCUGGGGUCAUGACGGUACCGUAAGAAUAAGCACCGGCUAACUACGUGCCAGCAGCCGCGGUAAUACGUA